ACGUGUGCUCUUCCGACCUCGCUCGGUGUGUGUUUCGUGGCGUGAUCGUCGUCGUCGCCGUCAUCGUGACCGUCCCCGUGUCUCGGCCGUGCGCCGUUUGUUGUUUUGCACGUAGCCAGUCCGUGUGCGCGCGUGUCUUCGCAAUUAAUUCCGUUCGCGAGAAUCCGUCCCGGCCCGAGCGACGAUCCUCUUCUCUCGUGUCGUGUCAUCGACGCUGCUCCUCCGUCGCCGGACGAUCCUUCUCUCUCUCUCUCUCUCUCUCUCUCUCUCUCUCUCU